UACGAAGGGGGCUAGCGUUGCUCGGAAUCACUGGGCGUAAAGCGCACGUAGGCGGAUCUUUAAGUCAGGGGUGAAAUCCUGGAGCUCAACUCCAGAACUGCCUUUGAUACUGGGGAUCUCGAGUCCGGGAGAGGUGAGUGGAACUCCGAGUGUAGAGGUGAAAUUCGUAGAUAUCGGGAGGAACACCAGUGGCGAAGGCGACUACCUGGCCUGUUUCUUGACGCUGAGGCGCGAAAGCUAGGGGAGCAAACGGG
rnacentral:rRNA from 1 species